rnacentral:rRNA from 2 species
AGAGUUUGAUCCUGGCUCAGGACGAACGCUGGCGGCGUGCCUAAUACAUGCAAGUCGAACGAAACUUUCUUACACCGAAUGCUUGCAUUCACCGUAAGAAGUUGAGUGGCGGACGGGUGAGUAACACGUGGGUAACCUGCCUAAAAGAAGGGGAUAACACUUGGAAACAGGUGCUAAUACCGUAUAUCUCUAAGGAUCGCAUGAUCCUUAGAUGAAAGAUGGUUCUGCUAUCGCUUUUAGAUGGACCCGCGGCGUAUUAACUAGUUGGUGGGGUAACGGCCUACCAAGGUGAUGAUACGUAGCCGAACUGAGAGGUUGAUCGGCCACAUUGGGACUGAGACACGGCCCAAACUCCUACGGGAGGCAGCAGUAGGGAAUCUUCCACAAUGGACGCAAGUCUGAUGGAGCAACGCCGCGUGAGUGAAGAAGGUCUUCGGAUCGUAAAACUCUGUUGUUAGAGAAGAACACGAGUGAGAGUAACUGUUCAUUCGAUGACGGUAUCUACCAGCA